rnacentral:rRNA from 1 species
UACGUAGGGGGCUAGCGUUGUCCGGAAUCAUUGGGCGUAAAGAGCGUGUAGGCGGCUCGGUAAGUCCGCUGUGAAAGUCCAGGGCUCAACCCUGGAAUGCCAGUGGAUACUGUCAAGCUAGAGUCCGGAAGAGGCGAGUGGAAUUCCUGGUGUAGCGGUGAAAUGCGCAGAUAUCAGGAGGAACACCAAUGGCGAAGGCAGCUCGCUGGGACGGUACUGACGCUGAGACGCGAAAGCGUGGGGAGCAAACAGG